rnacentral:rRNA from 1 species
UACGUAGGGUGCAAGCGUUAAUCGGAAUUACUGGGCGUAAAGCGUGCGCAGGCGGCUAUGCAAGACAGAUGUGAAAUCCCCGGGCUCAACCUGGGAACUGCAUUUGAGACUGCAUGGCUAGAGUACGGUAGAGGGGGAUGGAAUUCCGCGUGUAGCAGUGAAAUGCGUAGAUAUGCGGAGGAACACCGAUGGCGAAGGCAAUCCCCUGGACCUGUACUGACGCUCAUGCACGAAAGCGUGGGGAGCAAACAGG